ensembl:lncRNA uncharacterized LOC115206319
AAGCUAUACCACUACUCUAAUGAUAGAUGAGUCAACACAAUCUGCUGCUGUGCACUCUAGUCUAAGAGACCGGCAGAGUAAUUUCCCUCCACUCAACAGCCAUCAAGCACUCAGCCUUUCAGCAUGCUCUAAGCAUGAGUAAAACAUAAUUUUCAGGGGAGGAGAGUUCAGUACAAUGCAUGAAUGGGCCAUGCCUUGCUGAGUAAAGAGUGAAAUGUUGCUGUACCUCUCUUGCAUAAAAAAGAAAGGAAAUAAUACCAUAAAAUAAUUUAUAACACCACAAUCACUUCCCUCCCCAUCUUUUGUUUCGUAGGCAUGGGUUCUGAACAGGUGGUCUGAAAACCAGGACACUUUACCUGCGCCUGAGGAGAAGAGAAGCCCUGACAACUAACCAAUGCAUUUGUUCAGGACUCCUGAAGGGAUGAGCUGGGCUGGAGGAUGCAUGGCAUCAUCGCGGGCAACAAGGACAUUUGUUAUACAGUAUGAGAUAUGGAGGAGGACAUGGAGAUUGACCGUAACGUCAUUGGGAUCCUUGGAGAGGACAUCUUCCUCCGCUGUCAGUACCUGGGACAGAAUGACAUCACAGACGCCUCAUGGAAACGCCCAGACUCUAGAAUGAAGAGAUCGAUGAAGAAAUUAACAGGCUACAAGAACAACAAGGCUUUCAGCAAAGACCCAGACUUCUCCGCCCCAGCCUCUCCCACCAAUCUGACUGUCAAGAUGAGGGUGUCUACUCUGGAGGCCCAGGGGGAGUACACAUGUGUGUUUGCCACUGAUGAAGAGGAGAUCACUAACAGCAUGUUUCUCACUGUCCUGGCUCGACCUGAUAUCCACACAGUGGUGACAGAGGACACAGACAACGCUACCCACUACCAGUCAGUCACAUGCUCAGCUACCAAUGGUAAACCUAUGGCUCUGAUUCGCUGGGAGAUCAACAGCAGUCCUCCUACUGACAACUCCUCUGUGGAGAUGAGGAACACCAGUUAUACCAAUGGCACUGCCACUAUGACCAGCAUCCUCCGCUUCCCUACCCACCUACAGGACCAGGACAGGGUGACCUGUGUGGUCCAGCACCCAACCCUGCCUGACCCCACCACACAUGUCACAGUGGGGGUGGAGACCUUCAGUAAGCCUGCCAGCUCAUGUACACAAGGACUGCAUCCUAAAUGACACCCUAUUCCCUUUAUAGAGCACUGCUUUUGACCAGGAAGAGGGACAAGAUUUGGGAUGCAUCCUUGAUGUGUAUGUUUGUGUGUACAGUACUUGGCAUUUCUUACUUUCGUGGGCAAGGAUUUAGUUUGGGAAGAGGUUAAUUCUGACAUGACCUGUGAUGCUAAGAAUCAAUGUCUGAGAAUGAUCUGUAGAUAUUGGAUUAUGCUGGGGCUGGCACCACCCUGAGCUCACUGGCACAGAUGUUUACUUUCCUUUCCCCAGCCUGUUGUUCCACAUGGUCACCUCCCCACUCCCCCACAUGUACCAGGUAUUGUGUGUUUCCUGUACAGUCCUCGCAAUCAGCUGUGGCACGACAGAGACAGAUCAUACACCAUCAUCAUAUUCUCAUCAUAUUUCGAUAUCCCUCCCUACCACAUUAGGAGACACGUUUUGAUAUACAGCCUGUAUCCAUAUGUCAAAGAGGAUCAUAUGACAGAAAUAUCCUCCCUUAUCCAUAUGUGGUAGUAUCAAACAAAGCCUUUGAUAAUCGGCAAUAGAGUGAUGCCUUUCAAUAUCAGCAGUCAGUUUGUAUUGAGAUGUGUGAAAUAGGGUGCUUCCCAAAUGGCACCUUAUUCCCUAUAUAGUGUACUACUUUUAACCAGAGUCCUAUAGGAAAUAUGGUGCCAUUUGGGAUGUAGGCAUAGUCCUGUAGUUCCAGCCCCACCAGCAGAUCUGCUCUCAGCUGCGGCCUGUUGAACAGAUGGAACAGGUGAGAAGAGUCAGCACUCUCCUCCUAAACCCAACCGGCAGCCCUGUUAUGCCCUGUGUUUAUCUUUCAUACGUCUAUCCUUUCACUUCAGCCUUCUCAAAAAUCUAAACCACAGCCCUAGAGGCCCAGACAUUAGAUUUAGGACUCACUGUUGUUAUACUGAUGGACCAUUCCCACCUGCUCAUGUAAAAUUAGUAUUUCUCUCUGCCUGCAGUGGCUCCCAAUGUGACCAUUGAGACAUACCUGGUUCUAGAGGACGGAGAGGAGUUCUGGGUGGUCACCUGUGGUGCUGCUGGAGGACGACCCCGAGCUGACAUCACCCUGGUGCUGC